AACGGAGGGGGCAAGCGUUAUUCAUCCUUAUUGGGCGUAAAGGGUAUGUAGGUGAUGGAAAAAUUUUUUUAAAAAAGGUCAAAUUUAUAUUUUGAAAAGUUAAAAAAAGUUGAUAAAUUCGAGAUAGUUUAGAGGUUGAUGGAAUUACUAAAGUAAGGGUAAAAUUUUGCGAUAUUAGUAAGAACACCAGUGGCGCAAGCGGUUUUCUCAAAUAUCUGACACUGAGGUACUAAAGCAUGGGGAUCAAACGGG
rnacentral:rRNA from 1 species